AGAGUUUGAUCAUGGCUCAGGACGAACGCUGGCGGCGUGCUUAACACAUGCAAGUCGAACGGUGAAGGGGCCUGCUUUUGUGGGUCCUGGAUGAGUGGCGAACGGGUGAGUAACACGUGAGUAACCUGCCCCCUUCUUCUGGAUAACCGCAUGAAAGUGUGGCUAAUACGGGAUAUUCUGGGUCUGUCGCAUGGUGGGCCUGGGAAAGGUUUUUUCCGGUGGGGGAUGGGCUCGCGGCCUAUCAGCUUGUUGGUGGGGUGAUGGCCUACCAAGGCGGUGACGGGUAGCCGGCCUGAGAGGGUGGACGGUCACACUGGGACUGAGACACGGCCCAGACUCCUACGGGAGGCAGCAGUGGGGAAUAUUGCACAAUGGGCGCAAGCCUGAUGCAGCGACGCCGCGUGAGGGAUGGAGGCCUUCGGGUUGUGAACCUCUUUCGCCAGUGAGGCAGGCCUGCUCCUUUUUUGUGGGUGGGUUGACGGUAGCUGGAUAAGAAGCGCCGGCUAACUACGUGCCAGCAGCCGCGGUAAUACGUAGGGCGCGAGCGUUGUCCGGAAUUAUUGGGCGUAAAGAGCUCGUAGGCGGCUGGUCGCGUCUGUCGUGAAAUCCUCUGGCUUAACUGGGGGCUUGCGGUGGGUACGGGCCGGCUUGAGUGCGGUAGGGGAGGCUGGAACUCCUGGUGUAGCGGUGGAAUGCGCAGAUAUCAGGAAGAACACCGGUGGCGAAGGCGGGUCUCUGGGCCGUUACUGACGCUGAGGAGCGAAAGCGUGGGGAGCGAACAGGAUUAGAUACCCUGGUAGUCCACGCCGUAAACGUUGGGCACUAGGUGUGGGGGGCCUUUUCCGGGUUUUCCGCGCCGUAGCUAACGCAUUAAGUGCCCCGCCUGGGGAGUACGGCCGCAAGGCUAAAACUCAAAGGAAUUGACGGGGGCCCGCACAAGCGGCGGAGCAUGCGGAUUAAUUCGAUGCAACGCGAAGAACCUUACCAAGGCUUGACAUGUGCCGGUCUGCUCCGGAGACGGGGUUUCCUCCCUUGUGGGGGCUGGUUCACAGGUGGUGCAUGGUUGUCGUCAGCUCGUGUCGUGAGAUGUUGGGUUAAGUCCCGCAACGAGCGCAACCCUUGUCUCGUGUUGCUAGCACGUUGUGGUGGGGACUCGCGGGAGACUGCCGGGGUCAACUCGGAGGAAGGUGGGGAUGACGUCAAAUCAUCAUGCCCCUUAUGUCUUGGGCUUCACGCAUGCUACAAUGGCCGGUACAGAGGGCUGCGAUACCGUGAGGUGGAGCGAAUCCCUUAAAGCCGGUCUCAGUUCGGAUCGGUGUCUGCAACUCGACACCGUGAAGUUGGAGUCGCUAGUAAUCGCAGAUCAGCAACGCUGCGGUGAAUACGUUCUCGGGCCUUGCACACACCGCCCGUCA
rnacentral:rRNA from 1 species